rnacentral:rRNA from 1 species
GAUGAACGCUGGCGGCGUGCCUAACACAUGCAAGUCGAGCGAAGUAAUCUUAAAUGAAGUUUUCGGAUGGAAUGAGAGAUUAUCUUAGCGGCGGACGGGUGAGUAACGCGUGAGAAACCUGCCUUUCACAAAGGGAUAGCCUCGGGAAACUGGGAUUAAUACCUUAUGAUACUUACAUUUCACAUGAGAAGUAAGUUAAAGCGACAAAGCGGUGAAAGAUGGUCUCGCGUCCCAUUAGUUAGUUGGUGAGGUAACGGCUCACCAAGACCG